AUCAAGGGGUCAAAAAUGUAGUUAUUGCCAGAUGUUCACUGUCUGAGGAACAGGCAGUGGAAGUUUUAUUGCUGGCAAAAGUGUCCAUAACCAGAGGUUAUAUCAGCUGCUUUGGUGAAACCCUCCCGCAUCUGAACUGGCUGACACAGAGGGCACAGCAUGUUCAUAGGUAUGUUUUGAUGUGAGAGAGGAAGCCAGUCCCGUCAUCGCCACCUCACCCGCUCUUAAGAUAACCUUCGGGCCAACUGGGGGACCAAGGCUGGUUAGGAGACACCGCAAUUGUGAUGAACUGAGAGAAUAUUAGGGUAGCACUGUAAUUCAUUAAUCAUAUGCUGUCUGCCGCUGUUCUUACCUCUUUACCUUUCUGUCUUCUACACCUCUCGCCCCACCUCGUCUUUCA